GAUGAACGCUGGCGGCGUGCCUAAUACAUGCAAGUCGAGCGAACAGAUGAGGAGCUUGCUCCUCUGACGUUAGCGGCGGACGGGUGAGUAACACGUGGAUAACCUACCUAUAAGACUGGGAUAACUUCGGGAAACCGGAGCUAAUACCGGAUAAUAUAUUGAACCGCAUGGUUCAAUAGUGAAAGACGGUUUUGCUGUCACUUAUAGAUGGAUCCGCGCCGCAUUAGCUAGUUGGUAAGGUAACGGCUUACCAAGGCAACGAUGCGUAGCCGACCUGAGAGGGUGAUCGGCCACACUGGAACUGAGACACGGGCCAGACUCCUACGGGAGGCAGCAGUAGGGAAUCUUCCGCAAGGGGCGAAAGCCUGACGGAGCAACGCCGCGUGAGUGAUGAAGGUCUUCGGAUCGUAAAACUCUGUUAUUAGGGAAGAACAAAUGUGUAAGUAACUAUGCACGUCUUGACGGUACCUAAUCAGAAAGCCACGGCUAACUACGU
rnacentral:rRNA from 1 species